GGGGCUGUGCUGCUACUGAUGGUGGCUUGGUGGCUGCAGCAGGCGAGCAUCAUGAGAUGCUUUGGUGGUAUGUCACAUCAGGUUGGAUAUUAGGAACAAUUUGUUCUCAGAAAGAGCAGUGAUGCAGUGGCGUAGCUAGCCAGGGACGUGGGGAGCCGCCACCCCUGGAAGUGUUCAGGGACCAUGGAGAUGGGGCAUGGAGGGACGUGGUCAGUGGGCAUGGUGGGUUGGGUUGGAGCUGGAGCUGGGGAUCUGAGGUUAAUCCAGAGAGUUCAGUGCCAACAGAAAAAAGGAGCUGAGAUGGGCAGAGCAUGGUGUGGCCAAGCAGCAAACACUUGCACAAUUGUGGGUGGAUGUGAUUGUGUACUAAAAAAAAUUCUAGAAUUGUUGAAAUUCUAGUCAUGUAAUCUGCUGCAAAGGAGUGUGAAGCUUGGUGCUCCCCCACAUCUCAGCCAACAUGCCCAAGCUCCCAGCAGAGGGGCACCAGUGCCUACGGGUUUUCAGCAAGGCCGGAUGGUCAGGCAAGUGGUGAUGGGCUUUGACCUGAAACAACUCUGAGCUCUGUCAUGCACACAACAGACCCUUUGGAAGGGAUGGAUGUGAUUUCAAUGCAGCUCUCAAAAAAGCAGAAGUCUGGACUCUGGACUCUGCCAAGCUCUCUCUGCAAGCCAUCUACAAGGUGGUCAUCCCCGAAUGGGUGCUGCCUGCAGGCAGCAGUGCAAGGUGACAGCACGGUGUGGGGAAGAAGGCUCAAACAGCUCUGCUCCUCUCUGGCUGGGAGGAGUGCAGGUUGCCCAGAGCCCCCGUGGGUGUGAGCAAUUGAAAUGCAAAGUUGGCCUUCACGCGUUCUGAGGAGCGCGGUCUGCAGCUGGAGAUGGAUCACCAAUCUUCCAGGGAAUGGUGCUCUACAAGGUUAAGCAUGUUUGCAGAAGAAAUAUGGAUAAUGCUCUUAUCAUGUAUGACCUUUACUAUGUGUGUAACAUUGUCAGUGACAAAAAUGCCAUUUUUUAAAUGGUUUUCACACUAUGGUAUCCAGCCAUUAAUCAUGAUGUAUGUGAGUGACUCUAUAUUGUUUCUCUGAAAAUUGCAGCAUUAGAUUACUUUCCAUCCCGGCUGCUCACAUGAAUUGUACCCCGUUACAUUGAGCAAGGUUCCUAUUUCAAUGCCCGAUGUCCUUCUGGCCCCACAUUUAGCCAGAGGAACAGAGUGAAACUUCCAAGGCACGAUGCUGCUGCUCCCCUUCCCUUCCCCAGCAGACACUUUGUGCAUGUAUGCAUAUAAAUGGUGCACUUACUUUAAGAUGUUUCUCUAAUCCAGGAGUUGAUAAAUGACUCUUUCAGACACCUCUGCUGACGUUGCAUUUUUUAAUGUAGACAAACUGUAGCUCUGACUCUGGUCUCUGCCUCCCCUCUACUGCCAUCUCCACUCUUCAUGUCUUGAUUGCACGUUGCACGCUAUGAUUUGGAAGCUUUUACUUCCAAAGUGUAUUUUGAUUUGCCUUCUGUGUGUGCAGUGCAUUUAGAGGCAGCACAUGUGCAUGUGGAAUAUACUUGGAGGCGGUGUGCAUGUGCAUGCAGUGUGUUUGGAGGUGCCAUGCAUGUGUGUGCAAUGCAUUUGAAGGUGGUAUGCAUGUGUGUGCAAUGCAUUUGGAGGUGGCAUGCAUGUGUGUGCAAUGCAUUUGCUGCUGGAGCAAGAAUGAAUUAAAUGAGUCUGAGGGCAGUG
ensembl:lncRNA